rnacentral:rRNA from 1 species
GUGGGGAAUCUUCCGCAAUGGACGAAAGUCUGACGGAGCAACGCCGCGUGAGUGAAGAAGGUUUUCGGAUCGUAAAGCUCUUUCGUUAGGGACGAACGUGCUCUUUGUGAAUAAUGAGGAGUAAUAACGGUACCUAAAUAAGAAGCCACGGCUAACUACGUGCCAGCAGCCGCGGUAAUACGUCGGUGGCAAGCGUUGUCCGGAAUUAUUGGGCGUAAAGCGCGCGCAGGCGGGAUAUCAAGUCUGUCUUAAAAGUGCGAGGCUCAACCUCGUGACGGGACAGAAACUGGUAUUCUUGAGUGUCGGAGAGGAAAGGGGAAUUCCAAGUGUAGCGGUGAAAUGCGUAGAGAUUUGGAAGAACACCAGUGGCGAAGGCGACUUUCUGGACGAUGUCUGACGCUGAGGCGCGAAAGCUAGGGGAGCGAACGGGAUUAGAUACCCGGGUAGUCC